rnacentral:rRNA from 1 species
GAUGAACGCUGGCGGCGUGCCUAAUACAUGCAAGUCGAGCGAACGGACGAGAAGCUUGCUUCUCUGAUGUUAGCGGCGGACGGGUGAGUAACACGUGGAUAACCUACCUAUAAGACUGGGAUAACUUCGGGAAACCGGAGCUAAUACCGGAUAAUAUUUUGAACCGCAUGGUUCAAAAGUGAAAGACGGUCUUGCUGUCACUUAUAGAUGGAUCCGCGCUGCAUUAGCUAGUUGGUAAGGUAACGGCUUACCAAGGCAACGAUGCAUAGCCGACCUGAGAGGGUGAUCGGCCACACUGGAACUGAGACACGGUCCAGACUCCUACGGGAGGCAGCAGUAGGGAAUCUUCCGCAAUGGGCGAAAGCCUGACGGAGCAACGCCGCGUGAGUGAUGAAGGUCUUCGGAUCGUAAAACUCUGUUAUUGGGGAAGAACAUAUGUGUAAGUAACUGUGCGCAUCUUGACGGUACCUAAUCAGAAAGCCACGGCUAACUACGUG